GGAAUAUAGUUCAGAUGGUAGAUUGCUUGCCUCACAUGCACAAGGCCCUGAGUUCGAUCCCCAGCACCA
rnacentral:tRNA from 1 species